GUGGGACCAGAAUGUGAAUUCAUAACUGGAGCACGCCUCCCAACGAUACGCCAAGUAUUGGCUGCGUUUUAUUAUCAGCUUCGAUCAGCAAAGCUUUCUAUUAGAACUAGUGCAAGGAAUAUCGUUGAACAAGUGUUGUGCUACUAGCGGAAAACAAAAAUACCCAUAAUCCAGGAAAUACAUUGCAUUACGAAAGUCGAAUUACUCUAUGCUGAACUAUCUGCAAUUUGUAAACAUUUAUCACGGAAAAAUAGCAAAGCGCAAAUGAAAAAGAAAGCUCUCUUCUGUAAUAAGCUUGAUAACCUUUUCGAUGUGUCUAAAAGUAUGGCGAAGGAAAGGGAUCCGAUAGUGAUGAAAGCUCUUUUGGAAGAAAUACAAUUUUUCGAGGACUAAAAAGGAACCCGAGUAAGCACCUUCGCAGGUAUCGAUGGAGUUCUGUCUGGCAGAAUCCAGAAAAAACUGAAAGCAGACCGGCGUAAGAAAGAGAAGCAAAAGCUAUUGGAGGAUCGCCGGAAAAAGAGUGAAUUUCAGUCGAAAAUCGUCAACGCCGUAAAAUUCGGCUUACCCGGUGAAGAUUUUGAGGAUACAGAUAAAGACGAGGAAUAUCAACCAUCGCAGCGCAUCUCACAGAGAAUCAGAGGAACACGAAACGUUAUGACAACUGAAUUGCUACAAGCUCUUGAUGCUGCAAAGGUCAGUGCGGAUUCUGCCACAGUAAUUUUGGCAGCAGCGAGCAAAUAAUUUGGAAUCGACUAUUCAUCGUGAGCGUGACAAACACCGAUCCGACUUAGCUCAACAUUUGAUUAACUAUUUCGAUCCAGACGAUAAUCUAACGGUUCACUGGGAUGGUAAAGUGGUAAAUUCGUUGACAGGACGAGGUCUAGUUGACCGACAAGCUGUACUUGAGACGGGCAGAAACACUACCUAGCUACUUGGCGUUCCUUUUCUUGAAAAAGGCACAAGCAAAGCCAAUGCCGAAUCUGUCGUUGAACUGUCAAAAAACUGGAACAUUUCUGAUCGUAUCAAAGCAAUGUCCUUUGAUACCACCAGUGUGAAUACAGGAAGGAAAAAUGGGGCUGCUUCUGCACCACGCAGUGACCUCAAGUUCGUGGCUGAUCUGAAAAAAAUUGAAUCUUUCCAUCCGGAAGCAUCUGCUGCUGCUCAGCGAAAAUUCCUGGGCCAUUUGUGGUAUUUGAGCGAGGAACUACUUGGCUUGGCUGUAUUUGAUACAGGUCUAUCGUUUGAGGUGCGAGAGAGUGUUGUCAAGGUUUUUUUUUUCUAUUACCAUUAGACAAGGUGAUGAUAAUCCAGCUAAAAAACGAAGCCUCACUGAAUUGAAUGCACCGCUGCAAGAAUUGGUUACGACCAAUACUAUGAAAUUUUUCAAAGUAUUAGGAAUUGAAACGAAUUUCUUCGAACUACCGGCAAAGAACUGGGAUUCCAAUUUUGCGUAUCAAAGGGGAGUAGAAAUUGUCAAUAGUCUCACAGUAGUAAACGAUCAUGCUGAAAGAGCUAUUAAGUUGAUGCACUGCCGCUACCCGCAUAACUAUCCCAUACUGAUUUUGGUCACUUUUGAGUUAUCAUCGGGAAUCGACUUAAUUGUUAUCAUAUUUUCUGGAAAAAAUAAAGAUUGAUACUUUUGUAUGGAAAAGCAAAAGACAACCCUGCAGAACUUUGUUGGAUCAUAAAACAAAAUGACUAUAUUGGUUUUUAUUCAAAAACAGUUUUUUUUUCGGUAAACCGACACAUGUGAUAACCGAUCUACUUGCUUCCUGGUAUCUGUAUAGCGCUUAUAGUAGCGUGCUCGCCACCGCGUGAGGGUCGCUCAUACUAUCAUAUCUUUAGGUCCGUUGGGGAACCACUUAGCGUAAUCGUAGGGACCUCAACAAGAUAUCAUUUUCUUCAGC